UGAUUUUGCCAGCUGCAGGUAGUUUCUGC
rnacentral:piRNA from 1 species